AAAAAUCCCUCACUGCUACAUGGUCAUGAGUGACAAGUAUAGGACAAAAUUUGUAUCUCUCCAACGGCAAGUGGUGGGUCUUUCCAUAUUUGUAUUAAAAAAUUCUGAAGACUAAGAGACACUAUACAAUCAAUGUAAUCUUCUUAACAUUAAGUGAAAGUUUCCCUUUUCAGAAAAGAAAAAAACCCAGGUGUAUAAAAAUAUUUGAAGAUGAAAAAUCAUGGAUUCACCAAAGAGGAUGAAAAGGAAAAGGAACAAGAACAUAUACACAUAUAAAUCAUGGCUAUAACAGAAAUUGAUUCUGGAAAAGACAAUUUCAGGAAUUGGGACAGCUUAUAGAUGCAUUUCUCUUCAAGGUAGAAAAAAGUCAUCUAAAAUAUAUGAGUGGAGAUGCAACAUCAUGAAGUUCAAAGUAAAGUGCAAAGCUGAAUAUCAUAAAAUCUCCAAACAACGAUGAAGCCUUAAAAGUUGGAGAUAUGGCAUUAAAUUUUUUCCUUAGAAAGUACCAUGAUGUCUGUUACUAAUAAUUUAGUUUCCCAAAUGAGGAGCAAUGUAGCUGGCUUGUCAGAGUGAUUUUCCUGAAGAUGAAAUUGGAAAUGAGAAUAUUCAUGUGUGUCUCCAUACUGGAAAUCCUCAAGAUUCAACCAUAUUUCUAAGUGACUCAGUGAGGUCCCUUAAUUAAGGAAGCUCUUAACAGCACACUAAUGAGCUCUACUUGAAGGAGUAGUUUAAUACAGUAAGAGUGAUCUCCCCUUAGAAGUCAGAUAGAAAAAAAAAAUGGUUGCUUACCAUUUAUUUCACAAUUUGUAAUAGAUUAAAAUAUUUUUACUAGCAUUAUCUUAGACAAAGAAUAAGUAAUUGAUUAAUAUUUACAUUAAUUUUCCCAAUAGUCAACAACAGGGUUUUCUGUUCAUGAAUUAUUCAUAAAAUUUUUCUUGUAGAAAUAAUGCAGGUACAUGUACUUGUUGAAAAUGAACUAAUUGUCUCAAUGCGCAUGCCUUUAUAUGAUUUUUUUUCCUUAAUUGAAAGUCUGCAGAUCACUUCUUGAUACACAUGUAUUGUUU